AUACUUACUUGGACUGGUCUAUGAAUGAUUAAGGCCUAUGACCUAAUCCAAUGACUUUCAUUGCACUUUGGAGGGGUAUUGGUCUACCAUUUUCCUAAGUUGAAAAAGUAGAUGUCAUAAUUUGUGGUAGUAGGGGUACGUGUUCACGCAUCCCUGC